ACGCUCGACACCUACGAGAGGCAGCAGUAGGGAAUCUUCCACAAUGGGCGCAAGCCUGAUGGAGCAACACCGCGUGAGUGAAGAAGGGUUUCGGCUCGUAAAGCUCUGUUGUUGGAGAAGAACGUGCGUGAGAGUAACUGUUCACGCAGUGACGGUAUCCAACCAGAAAGUCACGGCUAACUACGUGCCAGUAGCCGCGGUAAUCUGAGCGGCUGGCAAGGC
rnacentral:rRNA from 1 species